ensembl:snRNA U6 U6 spliceosomal RNA
GUGCUGUCUUGCUGUGGCAGCACAUAUACUAAAAUUGGAAUGAUUCAGAGAAGAUUAGCAUGGUCCCUGCAUGAUGAAAAUAGGUGGUACUAUAUUAAGAACACAUAUUG